AUUCCAGCUCCAAUAGCGUAUAUUAAAGUUGUUGCAGUUAAAAAGCUCGUAGUUGGAUCUCGGGUCCAGGCUUGCGGUCCACCUCGCGGUGGUUACUGCUCGUCCUGACCUACCUCCCGGUUUUCCCUUGGUGCUCUUAACUGAGUGUCUCGGGUGGCCGGAACGUUUACUUUGAAAAAAUUAGAGUGUUCAAAGCAGGCAUUUCGCCUGAAUAAUGGUGCAUGGAAUAAUGGAAUAGGACCUCGGUUCUAUUUUGUUGGUUUUCGGAACUUGAGGUAAUGAUUAAGAGGGACAGACGGGGGCAUUAGUAUUUAAUUGUCAGAGGUGGAAUUCUCAGAUUUGUUAAAGACUAACUUAUGCGAAAGCAUUUGCCAAGGAUGUUUUCAUCA
rnacentral:rRNA from 1 species